rnacentral:snoRNA from 1 species
UGUUGAUGAUGACAACUCCAAAGGCUUGUUUCUCAAAACAUUCGCAGUGGCCACCUAAGAGCUUUCGCCUUCGCCAGGCUUGAGAGCUAGUGCUGCUUCAAUCCUUCCUUGGAUGUCUGAAACU